ACGGCUCAGUAACACGUGGAUAACCUGCCCUUGGGACCGGGAUAACCCCGGGAAACUGGGGAUAAACCUGGAUAGGUGAUGCUGCCUGGAAUGGUUCUUCACCGAAACACCUUCGGGUGCCCAAGGAUGGGUCUGCGGCCGAUUAGGUUGUUGGUAGGGUAACGGCCUACCAAGCCGAUCAUCGGUACGGGUUGUGAGAGCAAGAGCCCGGAGAUGGAACCUGAGACAAGGUUCCAGGCCUUACGGGGCGCAGCAGGCGCGAAACCUCCGCAAUGCACGCAAGUGCGACGGGGGAACCCCAAGUGCCACUCUUAACGGGGUGGCUUUUCAGAAGUGUAAAAAGCUUCUGGAAUAAGGGCUGGGCAAGACCGGUGCCAGCCGCCGCGGUAACACCGGCAGCUCAAGUGGUAGCCGCUUUUAUUGGGCCUAAAGCGUCCGUAGCCGGUCUGAUAAGUCUCUGGUGAAAUCCCACAGCUUAACUGUGGGAAUUGCUGGAGAUACUAUCAUGACUCGAGGUCGGGAGAGGCUGGAGGUACUCCCAGGGUAGGGGUGAAAUCCUGUAAUCCUGGGAGGACCACCUGUGGCGAAGGCGUCCAGCUGGAACGAACCUGACGGUGAGGGACGAAAGCCAGGGGCGCGAACCGGAUUAGAUACCCGGGUAGUCCUGGCCGUAAACGAUGUGGACUUGGUGUUGGGAUGGCUUCGAGCUGCCCCAGUGCCGAAGGGAAGCUGUUAAGUCCACCGCCUGGGAAGUACGGCCGCAAGGCUGAAACUUAAAGGAAUUGGCGGGGGAG
rnacentral:rRNA from 1 species